GAGGGGGGUAGAAAGGGAAGUAAAAUAAGGGAGGGGACUAGGGGAACUGAUUAAAAAUAAACAUUGGUGUAGAAGGAAAUAGUGAAAGAAGAAAAGGCAGGACUAGGAGUAGAAAUCAAAAUGCUUGGAAAUACAAAACUGGUAAUCAUAACUCUGAAUGUGAAUGGCAUGAACUCACCCAUAAAAUGCAAGUGAAUAGCAGAGUGGAUUCAAAUCCAAAACCCUACCAUAUGCUGUCUGCAAGAAACACACAUGAGGAAGGUAGCUACAGAUAGGGUGAAAGUAAGAGGAUGGAGCCAAAUCUAUUGGUCAUCAACUGAUAAAAAGAAGUUAGGAUUUGCAAUCAUGAUAUCUGACAAAGCCAAAGUAAAAAAAUAAAUCUAGUUAAAAGAGAUAGGGAAGUGUAAAAAUGGAGAUUUGAACCCCAGACUUCAAUCCCCAGAAGUCCUUGUUAGCUCCCAGAAUUCUCUCUAAUCUCCCUGAAUCUCACCUGAUUGUGAGGUCACAAAUUGUAUUCAAUCUGACUCUCCGCCUACUUUGAGUCUGUCUCUCAGCUUCUGCUUCUAGGGAUACACUGCUCUCUACCUAGCCGGCAAAAUCAAUUUUAGGAGAAGAAGCUUGCCAACUCCCAGAAUCCAGAAUAUGCCAUGAAGAUAGAUGCCUGCAGAGACCACAAGCCGAACCAGAAUAUCCAGAGUGAACUUUGGGAUGUGAAAUAAACUAUGGGGGAUUGAAA